UACGUAGGGUGCAAGCGUUGUUCGGAAUUACUGGGCGUAAAGGGCUCGUAGGCGGCCAACUAAGUCGGAUGUGAAAUCCCCAGGCUCAACCUGGGAACUGCAUCCGAUACUGGAUGGCUUGAAUUCGGGAGAGGGAUGCAGAAUUCCAGGUGUAGCGGUGAAAUGCGUAGAUAUCUGGAGGAAUACCGGUGGCGAAGGCGGCAUCCUGGACCGACAUUGACGCUGAGGAGCGAAAGCCAGGGGAGCAAACGGG
rnacentral:rRNA from 1 species